CUGGAUACGACAUCCUGUCGCAUGGCGGGGUGUGGAAAGGGUUUACUGGUUUUGGAUGGGCUCACGGCCUAUCAGCUUGUUGGUGGGGUAAUGGCUCACCAAGGCGACGACGGGUAGCCGGCCUGAGAGGGUGACCGGCCACACUGGGACUGAGACACGGCCCAGACUCCUACGGGAGGCAGCAGUGGGGAAUAUUGCACAAUGGGCGGAAGCCUGAUGCAGCGACGCCGCGUGAGGGAUGACGGCCUUCGGGUUGUAAACCUCUUUCAGUAGGGAAGAAGCGAGAGUGACGGUACCUGCAGAAGAAGCGCCGGCUAACUACGUGCCAGCAGCCGCGGUAAUACGUAGGGCGCAAGCGUUGUCCGGAAUUAUUGGGCGUAAAGAGCUCGUAGGCGGUUUGUCGCGUCUGCUGUGAAAGCCCGGGGCUCAACCCCGGGUCUGCAGUGGGUACGGGCAGACUAGAGUGCAGUAGGGGAGACUGGAAUUCCUGGUGUAGCGGUGAAAUGCGCAGAUAUCAGGAGGAACACCGAUGGCGAAGGCAGGUCUCUGGGCUGUUACUGACGCUGAGGAGCG
rnacentral:rRNA from 1 species